GUUGGAAUAAAAUAUCCAUAGCGUAUUAAAAACACAAACAACGCCAUCUAGUGUUUGUAUUGCAAAGUUUUAAAACGUGCAUUUAGCAAGUUUUUCGCAAAUUCCAAACAAGCUCACUUUCGCAUUUAUAAUUUUAUUAUUUUCGCAUUUAUAUUAUAUUAUUUUCGAUAUUAGUUGUGAUUGGGAUUAGUAGAACAAAGCACACUUAAGGUCAUAGCUCAUUAGAGCCACCCGGCACCCGACCCUCACCGCCUCAACUAGUGCGGUUGAUAUUGUUUGUAUGGAUUUCUAUGGAUGUACGCUCAUUACAUCAACUCCGGAUCGCCUCGCUCGCAAGUUGCCCACGCGCGGGCGGCGAGUGGACCACUUGGUGACAACUCGCAACUCGCAUGCUUGCCGCACGUUGAUCGCGCGUUGCCGACGAGUGGACCGCGCGCUGCCUGCCAGUGAUUCACUUGAGGGCGAUGCGUUGGCGAUGCGCCGCUCCCCACCCUCCCUUCAUUCCCAGCCUUUCUUUCGAACGAAGCGGACGUAUCGUUUUUACUUUUAAAAUGAAUAAAGAAAAACUUAUCGAAGAAGUUCGUAAAUAUACUUUAUUAUAUGAUCUAAGUGACUCGAAGUACAGUGACAAUGUAAAAAAGGAAGAAGCAUGGACAGAAAUAAGCAACACCUUAGCGGUAACAGUACCAAUGUGCAAGAAAACGUGGUCCAAUUUAAGGGAAGCUCAUCGUAGGGCUAUUAAGAAAAAAAAUACCAAAAGCGGUCAAGCAGCAGUCUCAGUUAAAAAAUGGCAAUUCGAGGAUGAAAUGAAUUUUUUGACACCCUUUUAUAAAGAAAGAGCAACUGUAUCUUCACUACUCAGAGAUAGUGAUGAUACAGAAAGUACCGUCAAUGAAGAUUCGCAGUUGUCUGCUCCCGAUUGCCAAUCGGAUAUUUCAAUAAUAGAAGAUCGUCCAACAUUAUCUGAGUCCUCUACAAAGAAAUCCAAGUUUUCAAAUAUAAAAAAAGCCCAGAGUACUUGACGAAGACAGAUCUUCUGCAUCGUCAUUGUUAAUGAAAUAUAUAUUAAAAGAAAAAGAUGAAAAAAAUGAAGAUGAUAUUGACAAAUUUUUUUAUGGUAUAGCUGCAACGGUGAAGAAAUUUAAUGAAUACAACAAAGCAAUUAUGAAAUCUCAAAUUUUUAAUAUUGUUUCGCAAAUGGAACUCCGAGAAAUCAAUGAAAAAAGAAAUAAUUACUACGACAGUAAUAAUUAUUCAACGCCAGGACCUUCGGGAAAUUAUUUAACAGCAGGCCCUUCUGGAUACAGUACUACAACGAAUUAUGAUACAGAAAGGAAUGCCACAGAGGUGAACACACCAGUCUUGACUAAUACUGAAAAAAAUUUACCUGUUUUUUAAAUACUGAAAAAGAUUUACCUGAUUUUUAAAAAUGUGAUUAGUAAGUACUUAAUUAGUGACAAAAUUAUGUCAAUAUUACGAAAAUAAAGGUUGAUUUAAGAUACU